rnacentral:rRNA from 1 species
AUUACUCCUACGGGAGGCAGCAGUGAGGAAUAUUGGACAAUGGGCGCAAGCCUGAUCCAGCCAUGCCGCGUGCAGGAUGACGGUCCUAUGGAUUGUAAACUGCUUUUGCACAGGAAGAAACACCCCGACGUGUCGGGGCUUGACGGUACUGUGAGAAUAAGGAUCGGCUAACUCCGUGCCAGCAGCCGCGGUAA